CCGGGGACGAGGAGCUGGCAUCAGGCACACCAAAUGGCCCAAGACGCCUUGCUCAGCCACACCCCCAAGGGAAUUCAGCAGUAAUAAACAUUAAGCCAUAAGUGAAAACUUGACUUAGUUAGGGUUAAGAGGGCCGGUAAAAUUCGUGCCAGCCACCGCGGUUAUACGAAAGACCCUAGUUUAUAGGCACGGCGUAAAGGGUGGUUAUGGGACAGACAAAAUAAAGCUAAAGACCCCCAGAGCCGUCAUACGCCCACGGGGGCGCGAAACCCAAAUACGAAAGUAGCUUUACCAAACAAAUGCCCGACCCCACGAAAGCUGAGAAACAAACUGGGAUUAGAUACCCCACUAUGCCCAGCCUUAAACCUAGAUGAAAACUUACAAAACCAUCCGCCCGGGGACUACAAGCACAGCUUAAAACCCAAAGGACUUGGCGGUGCCUCAGACCCACCUAGAGGAGCCUGUUCUAGAACCGAUAACCCCCGUUAAACCUCACCACCUCUUGUUUUC
rnacentral:rRNA from 1 species